GACAGAGGAUGCAAGCGUUAUCCGGAAUGAUUGGGCGUAAAGCGUCUGUAGGUGGCUUUUUAAGUCCGCCGUCAAAUCCCAGGGCUCAACCCUGGACAGGCGGCGGAAACUACCAAGCUGGAGUACGGGUAGGGGCGAGAUGGGAAUUUCCGGUGGAGGCGGUAGAAAUGCGUAGAGAUCGGAAAGAACACCAACGGCGAAAGCACUCUGCUGGGCCGACACUGACACUGAGAGACGAAAGCUAGGGGAGCGAAUGGG
rnacentral:rRNA from 1 species